GCCUAUAGCUCAGUCGGUUAGAGCAGGGGACUCAUAAUCCCUUGGUCGUUGGUUCGAGUCCAACUGGG
rnacentral:tRNA from 1 species